rnacentral:rRNA from 1 species
CAGCCGCCGCGGGAAUACGAAGGGGGCUAGCGUUGUUCGGAAUUACUGGGCGUAAAGGGCGCGUAGGCGGCCAUUCGAGUUAGAUGUGAAAGCCCUGGGCUCAACCUAGGAAUUGCAUUUGAUACUGUUUGACUUGAGUAUGGGAGAGGUGAGUGGAACUGCGAGUGUAGAGGUGAAAUUCGUAGAUAUUCGCAAGAACACCAGUGGCGAAGGCGGCUCACUGGCCCAUAACUGACGCUGAGGCACGAAAGCGUGGGGAGCAAACAGGAUUAGAUACCCGGAGUCCCUGUCUCUUAUACAC